GGCUGGAUGGCUCAGUUUUUACGUUGGACAAGCCUGAAUUACAGAGACCUGACCAUAUCCAUAAUCAAUGUAAAUUUAUUAGAAAUGGCAGGUUAAUUGAUGGUAGUUGUGAAGAGCAUGUGUAUUGUAUGUGUAAGAAGACAACCUAUGGACAUUAAAUUUUUAAAGGUUAAAAAUAAAGGAAAUGGUGAAAGUU